UAGGGAAUCUUCGGCAAUGGACGAAAGUCUGACCGAGCAACGCCGCGUGAGUGAAGAAGGUUUUCGGAUCGUAAAACUCUGUUGUUAGAGAAGAACAAGGACGUUAGUAACUGAACGUCCCCUGACGGUAUCUAACCAGAAAGCCACGGCUAACUACCUGCCAGCAGCCGCGGUAAUACGUAGGUGGCAAGCGUUGUCCGGAUUUAUUGGGCGUAAAGCGAGCGCAGGCGGUUUCUUAAGUCUGAUGUGAAGGCCCCCGGCUCAACCGGGGAGGGUCAAUGGAAAAUGGAAGACUUGAGUGCAGAAGAGGAGAGUGGAAUUCCAUGUGUAGCGGUGAAAUGCGUAGAUAUAUGGAGGAACGCCAGUGGCGAAGGCGGCUCUCGGGUCUGUAGCAGACGCUGAGGCUCGAAAGCGUGGGGAGCAAACAGG
rnacentral:rRNA from 1 species